rnacentral:rRNA from 1 species
CGUAGGUGAACCUGCGGAAGGAUCAUUAAGAAUUGAAAAUAUUUGUGAAAUUACCACAGCAAACAAUAAUCAUACAAUCAAAACAAAAAUAAUCAAAACUUUUAACAAUGGAUCUCUUGGUUCUCGUAUCGAUGAAGAACGCAGCGAAACGCGAUAUUUCUUGUGAAUUGCAGAAGUGAAUCAUCAGUUUUUGAACGCACAUUGCACUUUGGGGUAUCCCCCAAAGUAUACUUGUUUGAGCGUUGUUUCUCUCUUGGAAUUGCAUUGCUUUUCUAAAAUUUCGAAUCAAAUUCGUUUGAAAAACAACACUAUUCAACCUCAGAUCAAGUAGGAUUACCCGCUGAACUUAAGCAUAUCAAUAAGCGGAGGAAAUCCUUCGCGUUCCCCA